ensembl:snRNA U6 U6 spliceosomal RNA
GUGCUCACCAUGCAGAACAGGUGCUGAACAGUAAUGAGGCAGAGAAGAUGAGCACGGCCCCUGAGCAAGCAUAACGUGCAAGUUCAGGAAGCGUGACUCAUUUGU